rnacentral:rRNA from 1 species
GAUGAACGCUGGCGGCGUGCCUAAUACAUGCAAGUCGAGCGAACGGACGAGAAGCUUGCUUCUCUGAUGUUAGCGGCGGACGGGUGAGUAACACGUGGAUAACCUACCUAUAAGACUGGGAUAACUUCGGGAAACCGGAGCUAAUACCGGAUAAUAUUUUGAACCGCAUGGUUCAAAAGUGAAAGACGGUCUUGCUGUCACUUAUAGAUGGAUCCGCGCUGCAUUAGCUAGUUGGUAAGGUAACGGCUUACCAAGGCAACGAUGCAUAGCCGACCUGAGAGGGUGAUCGGCCACACUGGAACUGAGACACGGUCCAGACUCCUACGGGAGGCAGCAGUAGGGAAUCUUCCGCAAUGGGCGAAAGCCUGACGGAGCAACGCCGCGUGAGUGAUGAAGGUUUUCGGACCGUAAAACUCUGUUAUUAGGGAAGAACAUAUGUGUAAGUAACUGUGCACAUCUUGACGGUACCUAAUCAGAAAGCCACGGCUAACUACGUG